rnacentral:sRNA from 1 species
UACUUUUACGUCCAUAUUUUACCGACUUUUCUUCCCGCCACUUCGUCGUCCAUCACCUUCGAUACCCUCCCCCCGUCCUACUACCCUCCUGUCGCCGAAAACCUUCAGUCGGCGCGGCACGUCUUCUCUUAUCACUGCAAUUGCUUCACUCUCAAGGACAUACGUGACCAAUGGCACCCCUUCUCUUGACCCACUUUCGACCUCGUCAGCGUUCUCUCCUUUCUACCCUUUUUACUGCCACUUUUUUGGGUGCCGUCAUCGUCGUCGCUUUCCCAUGUCCGGCGCGUGCUUCUGGUGAAACUCGAUUAGAAUCUCCCGGUCCUACGACUGUUCGAGCAUCAGAGGGUAGAAGAGAGGUUGUACUUUUGAUGAAUGAGCGAGGGAAAAGGCGUUUCAUGGAGGAGAGAUGAUUGAAGGAUGUGAUGACUCGCUUUCCAUAAAACGCCAAUCAACUGGCUUCUUGCGUUUUCGGCGGUUGUAACACCAUUCUGAAGCUAGGUUGUAUACGUAUUUGUAGUUACAUGACAUCUCAAAAUUAUAUUGCCCCCCACACCUAUCGAUCAAAAAGCAUCAGACGUAAUCCGGGUUUCCUCAUUUGAAAAUUCGCCCUGAGGCCUUCUUAGUCACGAAAUGCAUUCCAUUCGACAAAUAUUUCUUACCAGCUUCCGAUUUCUUCGGCGAUUAAUUAUCGAAUUCAAUAAAGCGCCUCUACUUAACAGCCUUCUCUGGCUUUGUUCCUUCUUUUUUGCGGCGCGUUGACAGUAAGACUUACUCGCAUACUAAUAGGUGCGCGUCGCAGACUGGAUCAUCAGUCCCAGCUUUUCGAACCUGCUCUAUGAAACUUACGUCACCGUCGAUAACAAUCAAAUUGGCGGGAUUUUGCGCCUCUCCUGCAAAAUAACGCCCAAUGAUGCCUUUGGCGCCUCCAGCAUAUCGGGUCUGUGCGUCGAGAGUUGUGCCCGAGUCUGCCGCUCUAGUCAGCUCUCGCACACUCAUAUAUCAUUUCAGGUAAUGACGUACAAUGGGGAACCAUGCCAUUACCUCCGCCGAGAGGAUCGGCCAUGUGCUUCCAAGGGCUGGAGUGGUCGCUGAUAAGCUUGGCUACCUGAAGGGCAUUAGCCUAUUUUACUCACUCGGAUCUGACACUCGCGGUCACACAAAGCUUAAGCUUUGGGGAUUUCUCGAUAAGAUCUCCGGUGAGUUAGCCAGGGUGGAAAGAGAUAAUGAUAAGAGUUUUCGUCUGAAAAGACUCGCAAUCAGCUUUGCUUCGUAAUGUGAGAAAUAUAGCGGUAACAUGGGUGUACAUCGGGAGGAUGUUUUUGAAAUCGGACGCUGGGCCCUCCUUGUCAUCAGUUACCAUAAAUCUUGCAAAACAUGUCUGGAAUUAACAUGGAUAAGGUGCUUUUUUUAUGGGCCGGGUGAAGAAGCUCACUCGUGCCCUUCUUUUUUGAGCCAGUUUUUGAUGCCAAAUCUGUUUUUCCACAGUGCCGAGAAGACGAUUUCCCUUUUCAACAGCUGUCAUCGAACAUUGUCAGUCAUUUCAUUUUCCGACAGAAAAGCAUGUGAAUAUACUCUUGCCGCCCGAAUAGAGAAUUGCGAGAAUCUAGAGCCAUAAGUACAGGUGGUUGUAACCUUGGUAUAGUCGUUGUCGUUGUCACUUACUUUGACCAUCUUGUCGAGUGAGUAACGCAACCGACACAGGUUCUUGAUAAGCUGAACCGUUCAAGACACAUGGUUUCCUUUCAUUUGAAAGAGUAAAGAGAAUUGAUAUCAGAUAUCAUAUACUAGGUGAUUUAUCUCUUA